UGGAAAGACAAGCGAAAAAAACUAGAUCAGCCAACCAGAGUCACAGUCAGCCUCAGGGUGGUAUGUGGGGAGAUAAAUGGCAGAAAAAGAGGAAUUGGGGUAAUGCAUUGUCUACUACCAGCGCCCCAACACCCCGACCACCAGAAGACAGACGAUCUCAGAGUUUUUAGACUAACCAUAGAACUAGAGCUUAAGAUACUCAGUC
rnacentral:lncRNA from 1 species